rnacentral:tRNA from 2 species
GGCCCGGAUGGCGGCCGGAGGCGGGGGUCGGCAAGACCCUGGUCAGCAGCGGCAUGAUCGACCGGGUCGCGGCCGAUCUGGGCCG